rnacentral:rRNA from 1 species
UGCGGGUUGAUCCGGCCCCCCCUGACUGCUAGCGGAUUGAUACUAAGCCAUGCGAGUCAUUGUAGCAAUACAAGGCAGACGGCUCAGUAACGCGUAGUCAACCUACCCUAUGGACGGGAAUAACCUCGGGAAACUGAGUAUAAUGCCCGAUAGAACAUUAUCCCUGGAAUGGUUUAUGUUCCAAAUGAUUUAUCGCCGUAGGAUGGGACUGCUGGCUAUCAGUUUGUUGGUGAGGUAAUGGCCCACCAAGACUAUUACAGGUACGGGCUCUGAGAGGAGUGGCCCGGAGAUGGGUACUGAGACACGGACCCAGGCCCUAUGGGGCGCAGCAGGCGAGAAAACUUUGCAAUGUGCGAAAGCACGACAAGGUUAAUCCGAGUGGUUUCUGCUAGAGGAACCUUUUGUUAGUCCUAGAAACACUAACGAAGUAGGGGUGGGCAAGUUCUGGUGUCAGCCGCCGCGGUAAAACCAGCACCUCAAGUGGUCAGGAUGAUUAUUGGGCCUAAAGCAGCCGUAGCCGGCUCUGUAAGUUUUCGGUUAAAUCUGUACGCUUAACGUACAGGCUCACGGGAAUACUGCAGAGCUAGGGAGUGGGAGAGGUAGACGGUACUCGGGAGGAAGUGGUAAUGCGCUUUGAUCUCUCGAUGACCACCUGUGGCGAAGGCGACAUAACAGAACACGUCCGACGGUGAGGGAUGGGAGCUGGGGGAGCAAACCGGAUUAGAUACCCGGGUAGUCCCAGCUGUAAACUAUGCAAACUCAGUGAUGCAUUGGCUUGUGGCCAAUGCAGUGUUGCAGGGAAGCUGUUAAGUUUGCCGCCUGGGAAGUACGUACGCAAGUAGUGUC